AGAGUUUGAUCCUGGCUCAGAACGAACGCUGGCGGCGUGGCUAACCCAUGCAAGUCGAGCGCGAACGAACCCUUCGGGGUCCUAUUAGCGCGGCGGAACGGUGAGUAAUGUAUGGGCAACGUACCCUGGGCACGAGGAUAGACCAUCGAAAGUGGCGUAAUACUCGAUGAGACCACACGGGGGCAUCCCCGAGCGGUCAAAGGGCGGGGACCCCUUCGGGGGCCUGCCGGCCCGGGAGCGACCCAUAUCCCAUCAGCUUGUUGGUAGGGUAACGGCCUACCAAGGCAACGACGGGUAGCCGGACUGAGAGGUCGACCGGCCACAUUGGGACUGAGACACUGCCCAGACUCCUACGGGAGGCUGCAGGGACGAAUAUUCCGCAAUGGGCGAAAGCCUGACGGAGCGACGCCGCGUGUGGGAAGAAGCCUUUCGGGGUGUAAACCACUGUCAGGGGCCACCAAGCAAAUCCGCCUAAUACGCGGAGGCGUUGAGGAACCCCAAAGGAAGCCACGGCUAACUCCGUGCCAGCAGCCGCGGUAAGACGGAGGUGGCAAGCGUUGUUCGGAAUCACUGGGCUUAAAGAGCACGUAGGCGGCCUGCCAAGCGUCUUGUGAAAUCCCUCGGCUCAACCGAGGAAUUGCUCGGCGAACUGGCGGACUUGAGGCAAGUAGAGGCGCGUGGAACUCUUGGUGGAGCGGUGAAAUGCGUAGAUAUCAAGAGGAACGCCGGCGGCGAAAGCGACGCGCUGGGCUUGUUUGAGGUUUCAGAUGCGAUUCGUCGCAAAUGGGGCCUCUUCUGACGCUGAGGUGCGAAAGCUAGGGUAGCGAACGGGAUUAGAUACCCCGGUAGUCCUAGCCGUAAACGAUGUCCACUAGGCUGGGGG
rnacentral:rRNA from 1 species